rnacentral:rRNA from 1 species
UCAGGCCUAACACAUGCAAGUCGAGCGAGACCUUCGGGUCUAGCGGCGGACGGGUGAGUAACGCGUGGGAAUAUGCCCUUCGGUUCGGAAUAGCCCCGGGAAACUGGGAGUAAUACCGGAUACGGUCUACGGACGAAAGAUUUAUCGCCGAAGGAUUAGCCCGCGUUGGAUUAGGUAGUUGGUGGGGUAAUGGCCUACCAAGCCGACGAUCCAUAGCUGGUUUGAGAGGAUGAUCAGCCACACUGGGACUGAGACACGGCCCAGACUCCUACGGGAGGCAGCAGUGGGGAAUU